UACGUCGCACCAAAUACAAUACAUAAAAACCCAAUCUUCAUGUAAAAAUGUGUGGAGUGGAAGCAUGCUUUACCCAAACAUUUUUCCACUAUUAGGGAAGUCUAUUGCUGUAAAAAAAUCCAGGUGAAGGUUUCUAGUACUAAAUCCAUUUUACAUCUAAUCUCUAGGUGAUGUCAAGUUUAUUAUAUUUUUAUGGCAUGUCUGGUUUGCUAAAGGAGAUCCUGCUUCACCGGUACUUCAGCAAGUAACAUUGUGGAUGUGAACUCAUAUAAUGAGUUGAAAGAUGCAAUUAGUCAGGGGAAAUGGGCAAGGGGUCCGUGGUCUGCAAGUGACAAAGAUGAGUUGAGGGUGAAAGAAGAAACAGGGGCAACAAUUUGGUGUUUUCCUUUUGAGC